rnacentral:rRNA from 1 species
UCCUGCCCCAUGAUUAAUUAAAUGGCUGCAGUAUUUUGACUGUGCAAAGGUAGCAUAAUAAUUAGUCUUUUAAUUGAAGGCUUGUAUGAAUGGAUUAAUGAAAAUUUAAUUUUAUUUAUUUAAUAAUUUGAAUUUAAUUUUUAAGUAAUAAAGCUUAAUUUAUUUUUUGGGACGAUAAGACCCUAUAGAACUUUAUUUUUAAUUAAAUUUGAAUUAAUUUUGGUUUAAAUAAUUUUAUUAAUUUGCUUAAUUUUUUUGUUGGGGUGAUAAAUAAAUUUUACUUUAUUUUAUUUAAUCAUUUAUUUAUGUUUAAUUGAUCCAUAUUUUGAUUAUAAGAUUUAGUUACCUUAGGGAUAACAGCGUAAUUUUAAUGGGGAGUUCAUAUCUAUAUUAAAGUUUGCGACCUCGAUGUUGAAUUAAGAUAAGAUUGAGGGGUAG